rnacentral:rRNA from 1 species
UGGUGGUGCAUGGCCGUUCUUAGUUGGUGGAGUGAUUUGUCUGGUUAAUUCCGAUAACGAACGAGACCUUAACCUGCUAACUAGAUUCUUCUAUACUAUAGAUGAUAUCUUCUUAGAGGGACUAUGUAAUCUAAAUACAUGGAAGUUUGAGGCAAUAACAGGUCAGUGAUGCCCUUAUAUGUCCUGGGCUGCACGCGUGCUACACUGAUGCAUACAACAAGUGCCUAGCCAGACAUGGUAUGGCAAUCUCGAAUAUGCAUCGUGAUGGGGAUAGAUCUUUGCAAUUA